rnacentral:rRNA from 1 species
AUUGAACGCUGGCGGCAGGCUUAACACAUGCAAGUCGAACGAUGAUUAUCUAGCUUGCUAGAUAUGAUUAGUGGCGGACGGGUGAGUAACAUUUAGGAAUCUGCCUAGUAGUGGGGGAUAGCUCGGGGAAACUCGAAUUAAUACCGCAUACGACCUACGGGUGAAAGGGGGCGCAAGCUCUUGCUAUUAGAUGAGCCUAAAUCAGAUUAGCUAGUUGGUGGGGUAAAGGCCCACCAAGGCGACGAUCUGUAACUGGUCUGAGAGGAUGAUCAGUCACACCGGAACUGAGACACGGUCCGGACUCCUACGGGAGGCAGCAGUGGGGAAUAUUGGACAAUGGGGGCAACCCUGAUCCAGCCAUGCCGCGUGUGUGAAGAAGGCCUUUUGGUUGUAAAGCACUUUAAGCAGGGAGGAGAGGCUAAUGGUUAAUACCCAUUAGAUUAGACGUUACCUGCAGAAUAAGCACCGGCUAACUCUGUGCCAGCAGCCGCGGUAA